GGCUGGGGAUAUAGCUCAGUUGGUAGAGUGUUUAUCUCCCAUGUAAAAGGCCCUGGGAUGAAUCCCCAGCCCUGCUA
rnacentral:tRNA from 1 species